CUUCAGGUUGUUUAUAUAUUUAAAAAGUUUGUUUAUUCUUGAAGAUAAUUUAAAUGGCUGUAAGUUGAGCAAAUUUCAUUGUAAUAUGUUAAUCGAUGCGAUUUUUGUCUUAAUUCUUGUGAGGCAACCAUGGAGGCAACAUAUGUGACUUGUUUUAAAAAUGGCGGCAAUGGAUCAGACCUCGAUCUGUUUCAGUUUCGGCAAUAGACUAGAAAACCAUUUUUUUGAGAGAGUUUUUAAUUUAUUCAUGUAAAACGUGCAUUUUUCUAUCAAUUGCAAUUGUAGUUAUUCUCUUUUCCAUAGAGAGCUAGAUGACUUCUCUAAUAGCAUUUUGGUCAAGCAUGUUACAUGUUAAAAGGCGAAUUUAUCAUUACGGUCACGUGACAACAAUGCACUAUUUUAGCCUAUUUGUCUGUAGUCAAGUGUAAACAUUAAAUAGAUCUAGACUCUCUAGUCUAGACUCUAGAUCUAGAUUUCGUAAUUAAACUGAUAUCUAAAUCUUGAUUUUAAAGAAUUAUUUAAUUAUCUACUAGAUCUAUCCAUGCCAUGUAUUUAUAAUUUAUUAGUUAUGCUAGGUGAUCAUAGAUUGAUAGAUUCUAUUUUCUAGCCAGGGCUAGGUCUAUCUUCUGAAGUUCUUAGGCUUAGCCUUAGGUCUACUUACUCACUUAUAGGAUAGGUCAUAGGUAAAGGUAUGAUAGGGAGACAUACUCUGUAGUAUAUAGAUCUAGAUCUUUUAAAUUCGGUCUUUGUUCUGAACUCACAACUACUUACCACCAGAAAAGCGAAAGUCGAAAAAAGAUAUGGAAUGAGAGAGGCUAUAGUGUUGAUUAUAUAAAUAUGUAGGUCUCAGCUGGGGCUGCACAGCCACAGGAAAUACUGCAUUCCUAACUUAUCUUGGGACUUAUUAUAAAGAGUUGAAGAUAGUUUACUUCCUAGUCCAAACCUCCCGCAGGGUGACAGGGGAUGGGAGCAGGCAGGGUUUGAACCAGAGACCAUCGAUAAAUCCGAUUGACAAUCCAGCGUGCAAACUGCACGACCUGGCAGUCAGGAUCGUUAUCUGGAACUAUUGCUUGGAAUCUAAUUGCAAGUUUCUACUGUCGACUGUCAUACUAGAUAUGGUCUUAUGACUGCAUUAGAACCUUGGUCAGGCAACUAUAAUGUUUGCCCCCCCCCCCCCCC